UACGUAGGGGGCAAGCGUUGUCCGGAAUCAUUGGGCGUAAAGCGCGUGUAGGCGGUUACGUAAGUCUGCUGUGAAAGUCGGAGGCUCAACCUUCGAAAGCCGGUGGAUACUGCGUGACUAGAGUACGGAAGAGGAGAGUGGAAUUCCUGGUGUAGCGGUGAAAUGCGCAGAUAUCAGGAGGAACACCAACGGCGAAGGCAGCUCUCUGGGACGGUACUGACGCUAAGGCGCGAAAGCGUGGGGAGCGAACAGG
rnacentral:rRNA from 1 species